rnacentral:rRNA from 1 species
GAUGAACGCUGGCGGCGUGCUUAACACAUGCAAGUCGAACGGAAAGGCUCCUGCUUGCAGGGGUUCGCGAGUGGCGAACGGGUGAGUAACACGUGGGUGAUCUGCCCUGCACUUCGGGAUAAGCCGGGGAAACUGGGUCUAAUACCGGAUAGGACGAUGGUUGGGAUGCGAUUGUGGAGAGUUUUUCGGGUUGGGAUGAGCCCGCGGCCUAUCAGCUGGUGGGUGGGGUAAUGGCCUACCAAGGCGUCGACGGGUGGCCGGCCUGGGAGGGUGUACGGCCACAUUGGGACUGAGAUACGGCCCAGCCUCCUACGGGAGGAAGCAGUGGGGAAUAUUGCCAAAUGGGCGCAAGCCUGAUGCAGCGACGCCGCGUGGGGGAUGACGGCCUUCGGGUUGUAACCUCCUUUCGCUAGGACCGAAGCGCAAGUGACGGUACCUGGAGAAGAAGCACCGGCUAACUACGUG